rnacentral:lncRNA from 1 species
UCAACAUCCGGUUGACUUUUCCAAACUAAUUCUUCCUUAAAGAGACUAAUUGUCCCAUUUCAUACCAAACUCGAUCCGAAUUGACUCAAAUUCACCAAGUACACAUAUUAAAACAUGAAUAAGUAUUUAACGGGUAAUACAGGACGAAAAUACAGGAAACAACGGUUCGGGUCGUUACACUUAUCCUACGAGUUUAAACAUAAACUAAAAGUUCAAUUUAUAUCCUAAAUGUUCAAUUCAUAUCCACAAAAGUUUAAGUCAUAUCCUAAAAUUUCUAUUUAUAUCCUAAAAAUUCAACUCAUAUCAUAAAAGUUUCAAUUUGUAUCCUACAAGUUCGAUUCACAAGAACAAAACCUAAAAACUAAAAGUUAUAUUCAUAUCCUACGAGUUUAAACAUAAACUAAAAGUUCAAGUCAUAUCCUAAAGGUUCAAUACAUAUGCUAAAGGUUCAAUUUAUUUUCUAAAAGUUCAACUCAUAUCCUAAAAGUUUCAAUUCAUAUCCUAAAAGGUUCAAGUCAUACAUAAAAGCUUCAAUUUAUAUCCUACAAGUUCAAUUCACAAGAAAAAAAAACUAAAAACUAAAAGUUAUAUUCAUAUCUUAUGAGUUUAAACAUAAACUAAAACUUCAAGUCAUAUCCUAAAGGUUCAAUACAUAUCACAAAGGUUCAAUUUAUUUCCUAAAAGUUCAACUCAUAUCCUAAAAGUUUCAACUCAUAUCGUAAAAAGUUCAAGUCAUACAUA